GACGAACGCUGGCGGCGUGCUUAACACAUGCAAGUCGAACGGAAAGGCCCUGCUUUUGUGGGGUGCUCGAGUGGCGAACGGGUGAGUAACACGUGAGUAACCUGCCCUUGACUCUGGGAUAACUUCAGGAAACUGGGGCUAAUAACGGAUAGGAGCUCCUGCUGCAUGGUGGGGGUUGGAAAGUUUCGGCGGUUGGGGAUGGACUCGCGGCUUAUCAGCUUGUUGGUGGGGUAGUGGCUUACCAAGGCUUUGACGGGUAGCCGGCCUGAGAGGGUGACCGGCCACAUUGGGACUGAGAUACGGCCCAGACUCCUACGGGAGGCAGCAGUGGGGAAUAUUGCACAAUGGGCGGAAGCCUGAUGCAGCAACGCCGCGUGCGGGAUGACGGCCUUCGGGUUGUAAACCGCUUUCGCCUGUGACGAAGCGUGAGUGACGGUAAUGGGUAAAGAAGCACCGGCUAACUACGUG
rnacentral:rRNA from 1 species